rnacentral:misc_RNA from 1 species
GAUGAAGAACGUAGCGAAAUGCGAUAAGUAGUGUGAAUUGCAGAAUUCAGUGAAUCAUCGAAUCUUUGAACGCACAUUGCGCCCCAUGGUAUUCCGUGGGGCAUGCCUGUUCGAGCGUCAUUUACCCCCUCAAGCUCCGCUUGGUGUUGGGCGUCUGUCCCGCUUCGCGCGCGGACUCGCCCCAAAGGUAUUGGCAGCGGUCGUGCCAGCUUCUCGCGCAGCACAUUGCGCUUCUCGAGGCACCGGUGGGCCCGCGUCCAUCAAGCUCACCCCCCCAGUUUGACCUCGGAUCAGGUAGGGAUACCCGCUGAACUUAAGCAUAUCAAUAAGCGGAAGA